GGCUGUAAUUAGAGAGAAGAAAGUAUUAGAAUCAGCUGGAAGCUCUGAUAGGUAGCUCCCCACCUGAGUUUAUGCUCCUAAAGUACUUGUUACUUGUUUUGCUCUAAAUUAUUAUUUUUUCACUGUUCUGAGAAGAGUUAUUUUCAGAUCAAAAACAGCCACUGUUGCUGCAUUGUAGAAAACCAAAUGUGGUUAUCUACAGGUGGAGUGUGUUUUUGAUUGUAUUGUAAUUUUGAACACACAACAAAACUAAAUAUAUAUAUAUAUUUUAAAAACAAACAAACAAACAAAGAACAACACGUGGGGAGAGCAGCUGUGGCAUGGUGGCGAGUCUCUGGGAAAGCCAUCGUCUGGCAGAAGAAAGCCCAGGGGGACUUUUCAGAGGUAAGAAGCCUUCAAACAUAUGGGGACCCAUAACUCAUGCACCGAGCGUGCAAGACAUGUCCGUGGCACGAAGAUUGAGGAUGACUUCUCAGAGCUCUCACAUCAGCACUGCUCCGUAAGCUGUGCCUGCCGUUCUGCUUCCGCGCACGCGCGCAGCCAGGUGGCUCGCCUAAGGCGGGGGAGCCGAGCGGCGCCGCAGGACCUCUGCGCGUGGCGAAAUGGCGGCGUCCUUCUCUGAAGCGGGUCCGGGCUCGGGACGCCACGCCACAUCGAAGGGCGGUGCCGCGACGAGGGCAGAAGCAGCUCCCCGGCGCUAGGACCCCUGCGGGGUUUGUUGCCGAGUGAGGGUGGUACGGCAGGUAAACUGAGGAAGGCUGCAGCUGGUGUGCUGCAGUCACAGGUUGUCCAGCACAAUCAUGAAAAUGUCAUCUUUUUACCAAGAAUGAUGAGAACUGAUGCGUCUGCCCUGUGUUUGGAUAGAAAAUGUCACAGAUUUAAAGACGGUGUGUAUUAAAUGAAGGAUGAGAAGAAACACCUUUUUCGGAUACUUGCACUCCUCUUCUUCAGCUCGUGCAGAAGGCUGACAGCCUGCCUCACUCUCAUUAGUGCUGUCCCACCAGCUCCUUUAGGAGCUCAGCACUGCGUUUGGCCUGCUGCAGUCUUCCCAAUCCCCUCAUUUCUAUGCUGCAACACCAACAUCCACUAGAAGUCAGGUAGGAUCUGAAGACCUUUGACACUGCUAAAUGAUCAAACCUCAGCUGUCAGUUUUAGCCCUUUGUAUUCCAGUUGUUUGCUUUGCUGGGCGAUGGUUUCAAUUUUUUUUAUUUUGUAAUACGUUCUUUGUAGAGGUUAUUUUAAGCAGACAAGUAGGUAGCCUCCUUCCUUCAGUGGAUUUUUGCGGGUUUUGGCUGAGCUUUGCACAUCUGAACAAUUGCCCAUUGGUUGUUCUGGUCUUGACACAUCUCUAAAAACUUUGUCUGCCUCUCCUCUUUGUGUAUUAAGAUGCACAUUCGUGCAAAAAUAAUGUAUGCUUAAAGAUGCCCAGUGGUUUGGGGGAAUUUUCAGCGUUUCACAUAUAAGGUUUCAUGUUUACUUAACUACUUAAGUGUAGUCCUGGCUUUAAGCUUAGGUGUAGCUAAUGAUUGUUACUCAAGUGGUUAUAAAGUUUAAAAUGUUUGUUUGUAUAUAUAUAGAUGAAACUGAGUCUGUGGAGUGAAAGACUUUUCUGCUUGUUGCAUAUACUCGUGUAUCAGCAGGCUCAUAUGCAAGCUGAUCGAAACUGGAUGCCAAGCUGUGCCUUUUUUGUUGCCUGGAAUAUGCAAUCUGUGCGCCUUGGGUGUACCUUGUCUAUUAACUAUCUUUCACAUUGUGCCACUCCAUUAAUAAUAUGAGUGGAUGUACCCAGCACCACCUUGGGGCUACAUAGAAUGUGGAAAUUUCUAGUAUGUUAAGGUUACUCUGCUAACAAAACUGACUUACUAGCUGCUUGCUGUUUCUGUGUUUUUUUUUUUGUUUGUUUGUUUGUUUUUGUUUUUUGUUAUUCUUUUCAGUAGUCUCCCCAAAAGUUUUUGUGGACAUGUUGUGUAUCUUUGCUAUUCUUCCAGGAUUCAUUUGUCAGGAAAGAUGACCAUGAAAUCUGAGGGUUGUGGACAACCAUCUACCAGAUGGUUGUUGCAGAUGCCUUUGAUCACGUUAUUUGUCCUUUUAGCUUGCUCUUUCCUUUAUCUUGAGUUGAAUUUUUUUGCAGUGCUAUGUUUGCAGUGGUCAUAUUGCUGCUGAGGUGCAUUUAAUUAAAAGCGAUUUUAACGGUAA